GACGCACGCUUUCUUCUUUCUUAACACAUGCAAGUCGAACGGAAAGGCCCUGCUUUUGUGGGGUGCUCGAGUGGCGAACGGGUGAGUAACACGUGAGUAACCUGCCCUUGACUUUGGGAUAACUUCAGGAAACUGGGGCUCAUACCGGAUAGGAGCUCCUGCUGCAUGGUGGGGGUUGGAAAGUUUCGGCGGUUGGGGAUGGACUCGCGGCUUAUCAGCUUGUUGGUGGGGUAGUGGCUUACCAAGGCUUGGAUGGGUAGCCGGCCUGAGAGGGUGACCGGCGACAUUGGGACUGAGAUAUGGCCCAGACUCCUACGGGAGGCAGCGGUGGGGAAUAUAGCACAAUGGGCGGAAGCCUGAUGUAGCAACGCCGCGUGCGAGAUGACGGCCUUCGGGUUGUGAACCGCUUUCGCCUGUGACGAAGCGUGAGUGACGGUAAUGGGUAAAGAAGCACCGGCUAACUACGUG
rnacentral:rRNA from 1 species